AACCAAGUAACCUCCUCAGGCCUUAAGGUCACCAGCAACUACACAAAAAAAGUGGUUGAAAACCACAACUACAAAGGCUUUUGAAGAGAUCAUCUUUAACCUCAACUUUUCUUUUGAUCGUCAUCAAUAUCUUCAUCUCUUCUCUUUCAUCUUUUCUCAUCUUUACCUUGUUGAUCUGCUCAUCUUGAUUAUCGUUGUGAUCAACAGCAAACAACAGCCAUUUAAGCUGACAUACGAUAUCAAAUUCAUUGUAAGGGAAAGCAAAACAUGCAAUCAACUAAUCAUUGGAUUCAUUUAAUUGACUUCUCUUCAUGAUAAUCAAAGCGUUUUUUACCUUUGAUUAAGAAACAUCAUCAUCAACUGUUGGAUCAACCAAGUUUUGAUAAACUGUGAAACAAUCAAAGUUCACUUUUGGUGGCUUCUUCUUUUCCUUUGCCAACUAUUUUCAGGGAAUCGCUUUAAUUGAUCACAAGUGACUGAUGAUGUUGAUGAUUAUGAUGAUCAAGAAAAUGGCUAAACAUUUCAAGAAGUUAACUCUAACUUUCACUUCUUCCUCCUUCAACCCGGCUUUAUACCUUUAAGCAGAAUGCAACAUUUUUUGCCUUAAA